rnacentral:lncRNA from 1 species
CAAGCAAUGGUCACAGAACUCAUUUACAUACAAGUAGAACUCUUCAGCUCUGGGGGGAUUUAAAGAGGAAGGGGGACGAUUCCUUCAGAGAGUCAGAUUCCUUCAGAAAUCUCACCAUGACCCCAUCUCUUUUGAUCCUUGCUCUUUUCACUUAUUGCUCAGGUAAGGACAGAGAGAAUUCAUGUCAUGCUGGGAAACAAGAAAACUAUUUGCACUUGUACUGCUUUAGAGACAUUUCAGAGCGUUGACGAUGCAAUCAGUUCAUGACAUUUGUCUUUUCUGGUUUCCCCCCCCCUUAAAGGUGUUACCGCUCAGACAACUUUGACUCAACCUGCCUCUGAGUCUGUGUCCCCGGGAGAAACGGCUAAACUCUCCUGCGCUGCCAGUGAUACAUCAUACAACAUUGGCUGGUAUCAACAGAGACUUGGAGAAGGUCCUCGCUAUGUGCAUUACCCUGGGUACGGCAGGGGAGAAGGGAUCCCGGAUCGGUUCACUGCUUCCCAGUCAGGGAGCACUGGCUAUUUAACCAUCGCUAAUGUCCAGACUGGAGAUGAAGCAGUUUAUUUCUGUGGCAGGUGGCAGAAAGGAGGUAACACGUUG